UACGAAGGGGGCUAGCGUUGCUCGGAAUGACUGGGCGUAAAGGGCGCGUAGGCGGCGCAGUUAGUCAGGCGUGAAAUUCCUGGGCUCAACCUGGGGACUGCGCUUGAUACGGCUGUGCUUGAGGAUGGAAGAGGCUCGCGGAAUUCCCAGUGUAGAGGUGAAAUUCGUAGAUAUUGGGAAGAACACCGGUGGCGAAGGCGGCGAGCUGGGUCCAUUACUGACGCUGAGGCGCGACAGCGUGGGGGAGCAAACAGG
rnacentral:rRNA from 1 species